UGAAUGUCCUAGGGGGUAUUGCACUUACCGAAGACUAUCAAACUCCGAAUGCCGUUUUCUUUUACUUGGGAGUCAGACUGUGGGUGAUAAGAUUCAUAGUCAAAAGGGCAACAGCCCAGAUCGUCAGCUAAGGUCCCUAAAUGUACGUUAAGUGGUAAAGGAUGUGGGAUUGCACAGACAACCAGGAUGUUGGCUUAGAAGCAGCCACUCAUUUAAAGAGUGCGUAAUAGCUCACUGGUCGAGUGAUCCUGCGCCGAAAAUUUCCGGGGCUAAAACGUACUACCGAAGCUACGGCAUCAUUUAUGAUGGGUAGGGGAGCUUCGUAUGCAGGCUGAAGCAUGACCGUAAGGACAUGUGGACAGUAUACGAGUGAGAAUGUUGGCAUGAGUAGCGAGAUGUGGGUGAGAAUCCCACAGGCCGUAAACCCAAGGUUUCCAGGGGAAGGUUCGUCCGCCCUGGGUUAGUCAGGACCUAAGCCGAGGCCGAAAGGCGUAGGUGAUGGACAACAGGUUGAUAUUCCUGUACCGCCAAUAAGCGUUUGAGAGAUGGAGUGACACAGUAGGAUAAGCUAACCGUACUGUUGGUUAUGUACGGCUAAGCAUUGAGGCAGUCUAAAUAGGCAAAUCCGUUUAGACAAUGCUAGGAUGUGAUGGGGAAGCCCUUCGGGGCGAAGUAGCUGAUUUCACACUGUCAAGAAAAGCUUCUAUCGAGUUUAAAGGCGCCCGUACCGUAAACCGACACAGGUGGGUGAGGAGAGUAUCCUAAGGCCAGCGAGAGAACUAUUGUUAAGGAACUCGGCAAAAUGACCCCGUAACUUAGGGAGAAGGGGUGCCUGUCUAUGACAGGCCGCAGAGAAUAGGCCCAAGCGACUGUUUACCAAAAACACAGGUUUCUGCUAAGUCGCAAGACGAUGUAUAGGAGCUGACGCCUGCCCGGUGCUGGAAGGUUAAGGGGAUCUGUUAGAGCAAUCGAAGCAGUGAACUUAAGCCCCAGUAAACGGCGGCCGUAACUAUAACGGUCCUAAGGUAGCGAAAUUCCUUGUCGGGUAAGUUCCGACCCGCACGAAAGGCGUAACGAUUUGGGCACUGUCUCAACAAUAGACUCGGUGAAAUUGUAAUCCCGGUGAAGAUGCCGGGUACCUGCGACAGGACGGAAAGACCCCAUGGAGCUUUACUGUAGCUUGACGUUGGGUCUUGGUACUACAUGUACAGGAUAGGUGGGAGACUAUGAAGCAUGGACGCCAGUCUGUGUGGAGUCAUCCUUGGGAUACCACCCUUGUAGUACUGGGAUCCUAACCAUAGGCCUUGAAUCAGGUCUUGGAACACCGUCAGGUGGGCAGUUUGACUGGGGCGGUCGCCUCCUAAAAAGUAACGGAGGCGCUCAAAGGUUUCCUCAGCACGGUCGGAAAUCGUGCGAAGAGUGUAAAGGCAAAAGGAAGCUUGAUUGCAAGACAUACAGGUCGAGCAAGGACGAAAGUCGGACUUAGUGAUCCGGUGGUUCCGCAUGGAAGGGCCAUCGCUCAACGGAUAAAAGCUACCCUGGGGAUAACAGGCUUAUCUCCCCCAAGAGUCCACAUCGACGGGGAGGUUUGGCACCUCGAUGUCGGCUCAUCACAUCCUGGGGCUGUAUUCGGUCCCAAGGGUUCGGCUGUUCGCCGAUUAAAGUGGUACGCGAGCUGGGUUCAGAACGUCGUGAGACAGUUCGGUCCCUAUCCGUCGCAGGCGUAGGAAAUUUGAGAAGACCUGUCCUUAGUACGAGAGGACCGGGAUGGACGUACCUCUGGUGUACCAGUUGUUCUGCCAAGGGCAUGGCUGGGUAGCUAUGUACGGAAUGGAUAAGCGCUGAAAGCAUCUAAGCGCGAAGCCAACUUCAAGAUAAGAUUUCCCACCGUAAGGGUAAGACCCCAGGAAGACUACCUGGUUGAUAGGUCGAAGGUGUAAGUGCAGUAAUGUAUUUAGCUUAUCGAUACUAAUAGGUCGAGGACUUGACCAA
rnacentral:rRNA from 1 species